GAGCAUUUGAAUCUAUGGGCAGGAUGCAGCAGGGGAAACAGUGACCAGGUUCUGCAGAGAGCAGGAUAGAGUGCUGAUGACAGUGGGGAAGAGGCAGAGUUAGUGCCUCCCAUAGAAAAUGGCUUGGCAAGAGUGCAGGUGGCAGGCGAAGCAGAACCAUUUGUGUUGAAGGCAGCAUGAAGAGCAGUGGGCCAGCUAUCCAGGUCUGGGCAAAAUAGCAAGAAUGCAGGCAUAUGAGUUGAAGAAGGAAGAGGAAGAAGAUGAAUAUGCAUGGGCUAUCUCCGCUCUUCUCUCGGAAUCCUCUCACACUAAAGGAAGAGAUAAAUAAGGAGGGACAGUGACAAGUGUUCGGGCAGUGAUACGUGUUAGCAUCAUCAUUGAGUCUAGUGCCUAUGGACUUGUAACUCCACUGAAAAACAAAGUCAUAUUGAGUUUAUGGGUCUUAAUUCACCCAGCUUGAUAAUGGUAAAAGCUUUGGGGAUUGGAUUGAAUCCUUCCUUGUGACUUUAAGGAACACUCAAAAGAGAUUCCCCUCUAUCUUUCUCAUGCAUGCAAGAUUUGGGAUGCUCGACCCAACUACAGGUUAAGAAAUGCAGCAUCUUGACACCUCCAUACCCAAAGCCAAGAUUGCUGUUUCUUUCAGACAGGCCCCCAAAAAGCAUUGGACAAAAUUUAACUAAAUGCUUUAUAGACCUUCCCCUUUGACUAAGAAAAAAAAAAAAACAAAAAAAAAAAACCCCCCAAAAAAACAUUGGUGAUUGCUUCUAUUCCAUAGAUGGAAAACCAAGAAAGAGACUUAUACUUUAUUCCUCAUGGUAUAGCAUUAUAUCCUUAGUGGGUGAGGCCCUUGUUUACCCUGAGGUGGUAGGCUAUUCAUGGCUAACCAGUGUAUCACUGGUACAACUAAGAUGAUUAGAUAUUACAAGUGGAAGCCUGAAGGUAUCUUCCCUGAACUGAUACUCAACCCAUAAAUCACACCACUGCUCAUAUAGAGCAACUGCUCAUGAUAACAAGAUAACACCCAGAUCCUACUAGUUAAGAUGCCUGGCACUCAUGAUCUGGGGAAGAAUAUGAAGAGGGUGCUCCUACUGCAGAUGACUGAAACACAUACAGACUGUCUGUAAGUCAAUGAAACAGUGUGCUGCUUCUCCUCUGAUAGGCUGCUUCUUAAUUAAUCUACCCAUCAAUCAAGAGUAAUGUACCAAGUGAUGGGCCUCACUUCGGAACUCUGCCUUGGAGGCUCCAAAUACUUGUAUUGUGUGGAUUUAUGUCUGGAGACCUCAUUAUAUCAAACAAAACUCUAACUCCAGAAACCAGAAAUGUGUAUAAAGGGAGACCUUGAAAACC
rnacentral:lncRNA from 1 species